CUCCUACGGGAGGCAGCAGUGGGGAAUAUUGGACAAUGGGCGCAAGCCUGAUCCAGCCAUGCCGCGUGGAUGAUGAAGGCCCUAGGGUUGUAAAGUCCUUUUAACGGGGAAGAUAAUGACGGUACCCGUACGAACUAAGCCCGGCUAACUUCGUGCCAGCAGCCGCGGUAAUUC
rnacentral:rRNA from 1 species